CUUCCAGCCUUUCGCUCUCAUCUAACCGGACGCAGGACCGACAGCCUCUCCAGGGCCUACCCGGGCCUCGCUUCCUCCGGUGCCAAGCUCCAAGGUCUCCUCACCUCUCGCGGAGGACCAAGCCAGACCGGACGCUCCAGGCCCGAAAGGCAACUCCCCUCCCACCACUCCCUGACUCGCCGGUCUUUCCUCCCAACUGCAGCCGCUGAAAAAGCCAAGUCCUAAGGUCCCCCUCCAUCAGCUUCCGGGCCUCCCUUCACGGCUGGGCCCGAACCCCCAGCCCUGCCCUCUCGCCAUCUCGCUUCCCCGAGUCGCGAGGCCGAGCCCCGGGGCUGGACGGCUUCUUUCCCCGGCUUCGCGCCCGCCCGGCGUGCGGAAGACUCACCACUGAGCGCGGAGGCCUGCAGUGUGGCCCCCGAGGUGCCG
rnacentral:lncRNA from 1 species